GCCGGGUGCAGUGGCACGUGCCUAUAGUCCCAGCUACUCAGGAGGCUGAGGCGGGAGGACUGCUUGAGUCCAGGGGUUCUGAUCUGUAGUGCACUAUGCUGAUUGGGUGUCCACACGAAGUUUGGCAUCAAUAUGGUGACCUCCCGGGAGCGGGGAACCACCAGGUUGCCUAAGGAGGGGUGAACUGGCCCAGGUCAGAAAGGGAGCAGGUCAAAACUCCCAUGCUGAUGAGUAGUGGGAUUGCACCUGUGAAUAGCCACUGCACUCUAGCCUGGGCAACAUCCAUCUCU
rnacentral:SRP_RNA from 1 species